AACCACUAGGGGUGCCUGGGCCUAUUCAAUUGAGUGCCCGGGCUGAGAUCACACCCUCCGAACCUGAUCCGGCUCAUACCGGCGCAGGGAAGUGAC
rnacentral:ncRNA from 1 species